AACGCACCUUGCGCUCCUUGGUAUUCCGAGGAGCAUGCCUGUUUGAGUGUCAUGGAAUUCUCAACUUAUAAAUCCUUGUGAUCUAUAAGCUUGGACUUGGAGGCUUGCUGGCCCUCGUUGGUCGGCUCCUCUUGAAUGCAUUAGCUUGAUUCCGUACGGAUCGGCUCUCAGUGUGAUAGGUUUUUGUUACGUCUCGAUAAUUCCGUCUCGGAGCCGUGUGGCUUCGGCUUCGAAUCGUCCCUCUUGGGGGACUGACUCCAUCUUGAAUCUGACCUCAAAUCAGGCAGGACUACCCGCUGAACUUAA
rnacentral:rRNA from 1 species